rnacentral:rRNA from 1 species
GAUGAACGCUGGCGGCGUGCCUAAUACAUGCAAGUCGAGCGAACAGACGAGGAGCUUGCUCCCCUGACGUUAGCGGCGGACGGGUGAGUAACACGUGGAUAACCUACCUAUAAGACUGGGAUAACUUCGGGAAACCGGAGCUAAUACCGGAUAAUAUAUUGAACCGCAUGGUUCAAUAGAGAAAGACGGCUUUGCUGUCACUAAUAGACGGAUCCGGGCCGCAUUAGCUAGUUGGUAAGGUAACGGCUCACCAAGGCAACGAUGCGUAGCCGAGCUGAGAGGGUGAUCGGCCACACUGGAACUGAGACACGGUCCAGACUCCUACGGGAGGCAGCAGUAGGGAAUCUUCCGCAAUGGGCGAAAGCCUGACGGAGCAACGCCGCGUGAGUGAUGAAGGUCUUCGGAUCGUAAAGCUCUUUUAUUAGGGAAGAACAAAUGUGUAAGUAACUAUGCACGUCUUGACGGUACCUAAUCAGAAAGCCACGGCUAACUCCGUG